rfam:Gossypium hirsutum cultivar TM-1 unplaced genomic scaffold scaffold783.1, whole genome shotgun sequence
UGUUUAAAGUUUCAUCCAUUUGUAUUGUUAAAAAAUGGUAUGGUCGACAGAAUAACCGGAAAGUGACACUGGCGUGCCAUGUGUACCUUGUGUUAAUGUACAAGGAUCGGUUUUUAACAAUAGAACUAGAUGAAAAUUUUAACA